UUUAUUCUGAAGUCUUAAUUUAUUUAUUUUUUCUAUAUAGGUAGUUAUGAGUUACAGCAAUUGAGCAAUUUGAAGUAUCUUGACUUGAAAUAUAAUCGUUUCAAUAACAGUAUUUUAUCAUCUAUUGAGGGGCUUUCGUCUCUCGAAUCACUAUAUCUGAGUUAUAAUAGACUGGAGGGAUUAAUAGAUUUUAAAGAAUCUCUGAGCAGGUUGAAGAUCUUGGAUUUGAGCGGAAACAAUAUUAACAAAUUGAUAACUUCAAGAGGUUCAAGCAACUUGUAUCUACGGCUAAAUGAUAUCACACCCUAUGGAAGUAGCUUCCAGUUACUGCAAUCAUUAGGAGCAUUCCCAAACCUCACGACACUUGAUCUGGGAUCCAACAAUUUUAGAGGGAGAAUAUUAG